rnacentral:rRNA from 1 species
GACGAACGCUGGCGGCGUGCUUAACACAUGCAAGUCGAACGGAGUGGCGAACGGGUGAGUAACACGUGGGUGAUCUGCCUUGCACUUCGGGAUAAGCUUGGGAAACUGGGUCUAAUACCGGAUAGUGCAAGAUGAGCUAGCGGCCUAUCAGCUGGUUGGUGGGGUAAUGGCCUACCAAGGCGACGACGGGGAGCCGGCCUGAGAGGGUGUACGGCCACAUGUGGCCUGAGUUACUGCCCAGACGCCGACGGGAGGCAGCAGUGGGGAAUAUUGCACAAUUGGCGGAAGCCUGAUGCAGCGACGCCGCGUGGGUGAUGAAGGCCUUCGGGUUGUAAACUCCUUUCGACAGGGACGCGGUACCUGUAUAAGAAGCACCGGCUAACUACGUGCCAGCAGCCACGGUAAUUC